rnacentral:rRNA from 1 species
CGGCGUGGAUUAGGCAUGCAAGUCGAGCGAGAAAUUUACUUCGGUAAAUGGACAGCGGCGAAAGGGACAGUAAUGUGUAGGUACCUACCCUCUGAUCUGGGAUAGCUGCGGGAAACUGCAGGUAAUACCGGAUAAUGUCUUCGGACCAAAGGUGUGAUUCCGUCUGAGGAGGGGCCUGCAUCCUAUUAGCUUGUUGGUGAGGUAAUGGCUCACCAAGGCAACGAUGGGUAGCGGGUGUGAGAGCAUGACCCGCGUCAUUGGGACUGAGACACUGCCCAGACAUCUACGGAUGGCUGCAGUCGAGAAUCUUCGGCAAUGGGCGAAAGCCUGACCGAGCGACGCCGCGUGCGGGAUGAAGGCCCUCGGGUUGUAAACCGCUGUCGUUGGGGAGGAAAUGCAGGAGGGCUAUCCCUCUUUUUGACCGAUCCAAGGAGGAAGUACGG